AUUGAUUUUGGUAUGUGGCUUGAAAUUAGUAAUUGGAAAACAAGAAGGUGUCAUAGUUAGUGAGGUGAUUCCGGCAAUGGGCUGAUGAUUAACAAAUAUAUAACUGUGGGCAUCGUCUCCUAUGGAGAACUUGGGCUAAGUCUGGUCUGGUGGUCUACACGGACGUCCCAUAUUUCUAUGAUUGGAUAGUGUUAGUCCACUUUAGUUCACCAUUUGUACUGAAGCAUACAAAACAAAAAUUGUGGACACUCGAAAACUGCAGAAACGUCUUGAAAUUGGACCCACCCCAACCCAAUGGAACUAUUUGUGGCGGCGAGAAAAAAGCCAAGAAAAAUUUGGCUUCCUUAGGUGAUUCCGGCAAUGGACUGAUGAUUAACAAAAAUAUAAUUGCGGGCAUCGUCUCCUAUGCCGAUCACAAAGUUUCGCUAAGUCUGGUGGUCUACACGGACAUAUCAUAUUUCUAUGAUUGGAUUGUAGUAAAU